rnacentral:rRNA from 1 species
UACGUAGGGUGCGAGCGUUGUCCGGAAUUAUUGGGCGUAAAGAGCUCGUAGGCGGUCUGUCGCGUCGAUCGUGAAAACUUGGGGCUUAACCCUGAGCUUGCGGUCGAUACGGGCAUGACUGGAGUUCGGCAGGGGAGACUGGAAUUCCUGGUGUAGCGGUGAAAUGCGUAGAGAUCCGGAGGAACACCAGAGGCGAAGGCGGCCUACUGGGCUGCACCUGACGCUGAGCCGCGAAAGCCAGGGGAGCGAACGGG